CGAGCACGCGCGUGUGGCAUAUCAAUAAGCGGAGGAAAAGAAACUAACAAGGAUUCCCUUAGUAACGGCGAGUGAAGCGGGAAGAGCUCAAAUUUGAAAUCUUCAAGGUUCUACCUUGACGAAUUGUAGUUUAUAGAAGUGUUUUCUGUUAGUAGAGUGGCAAAAGUUCUUUGGAAUAGGACAUCAUAGAGGGUGAGAAUCCCGUAUUUGGUCAUUCCUUCUAGCGUUGUGAUACACUUUCAACGAGUCGGAUUGUUUGGGAAUGCAGUCCAAAAUGGGUGGUAAAUUUCAUCUAAAGCUAAAUAUUGGCGAGAGACCGAUAGCGAACAAGUACCGUGAGGGAAAGAUGAAAAGAACUUUGAAAAGAGAGUUAAACAGUACGUGAAAUUGUCAAAAGGGAAGCGUUUGACACCAGUGUUGUUUUUCCGAAAAUCAAUUACGAAUGUUUUGUUUUUGAGGAGUUAUGACUUCAUCGGCUUGCUUCUCUCUUUACGAAACUUUCUUAAUGCACUUUUCGGUUAACAAGUCAACAUCAAUUUCUUUUGUUGUAAAAGGGUAUGAGGAAGGUGGCUUUCUUUUCGGAGAAAGUGUUUAUAGCCUUGUAGCCUCUACAAUCGGAGAGAUUGAGGUCUGCAGCGUAGAUCCUUCGGGGUUAGAUACAGUUUGUGCUAAGUUAUAGCUUUUCAUAGACAACUUGUUGACUAUGUUUAGUCUUGUAGCUUACUCGCUUAUGCUAUUUUACCUACGCUUAGGAUGUUGAUGUGAUACUGCGAGCA
rnacentral:rRNA from 1 species